CUUUUAAUAUGACAAAGUCACGUUUUGGUUAUGUUAAUAAUUGUUCAAUUUUAAAGCAAACUUCGUACGUCCAUCACCUUGUUGUUCUACUGUUGUUUGCUAGCCAAGAUAGCUGAUGUUUGCGCAUGCGCACAGCCACUUCCAAGGGGAAGUACUAGAUUUUUUUUUAAGUGUUGAAAAAAGGUUUCACUAUGAUGAGUAACAAGUUUGACGACGAUAAAACACAAGUUUUACAAAAAAGAAGAAAAUAUAUCGGGACACGUGACUAGUUUCGACCGCCUUCCCCGCGAAACGUUUCCGCAUACGUCAUAGUUAGUGAACUUUUUUUCACCUGCAGAAACCGUCCUUCGAGGAUGUCAGCGCUUCGGUUCUGCGCCAACAUCAGCUGGCUGUUCACCGAACUUCCAGACUUCCCGCAGCGGAUGCGGGCGGCCGCCGCGGCCGGCUUCCGAGCAGUGGAGGCGGCUUGGCUCUACGACGCCGACCCGCAAGAGCUCCGGAGGGCCAAGGAAGACACCGGCCUGGAGGUCGUUCUCAUCAACACGCCGCCCGGUGACGUCACAGCCGGGGAACUCGGUUUGGCGGCGGUACCGGGAAGAGAAGAAGACUUUCAACGUGGACUGCAGCAGGCCAUCGAAUACGCGCGAAUACUUGAUUGCAAAAGGAUCCACUUGAUGGCCGGCCGCGUUCCGUCCAAUGGUGCGGCGCUCGGCGAGAUGGAGUCCGUGUUCGUGCGGAACCUAGGCCACGCCGCCGAACUGCUGGCCAAGGAAGGAAUGACCGGCCUGAUCGAACCCAUCAACACGCGGCUGACGGACCCUCGCUACUUUCUGUCGUCACCUCACCACGCGGCGGACAUCUUGAAGAAAGUGGCCAAGGAAAACAUCAAACUACAAAUGACAGGAUGUUUUCCACUGGCAAAUUAUGGACGGAAACUUGACGCAAAAUAUGCAGCGAUAUUUGCCACUGCUUGGUCACGUUCAGGUGGCUCAAGUUCCCGACCGAAACGAACCUGACAGCGACGGCGAGGUCAACUACCGUUACGUCUUCUCCACGCUGGAGAGGCUGGGCUACCGCGGCUACGUCGGUUGCGAGUACAAGCCGCGAGGAAACACGCGAGAAGGUUUGGGCUGGCUUGAAGAUUACUGGACGCCAAGCAGCAAGUGACGGAAUGUGACAAUUUGCCCUCCGGUCCUGUAGGUGGCCACCAUACGCACGGAAAAGUCGUUAAAUUCAAUUACUUUUUUUUUUUUUUUUGUGCUGGAAUCGUCAUCAUUAAUAAAAAGCCAAUUAAAUACGUUUUCAUUUCUUCAUUUGUUCAUUGCAUUUAGUCCCGCCCCCUCUCGUUUUCCGUUACUUUUCUGCUAGUACAGGUGUGACAAAAUUUUGAAAUGGUGCCAAAUCGCAUAAUGUGGACAUCAAAAAUUCCGGGACAGUGAGGGGCAUAAAAGUUGUAUACAGAAUUUGGAAAAAAUUUACGGUUCCCCGGAAAUUUGCCAAAAACUUUCCCAUUCAUUUUUAAUGGCAUACGACGUUGGUUCAAAUUUCCUAUUCACUUCAAUGGAAUUUCCAAGGAAAUGUACAUUGCAUUGAUGCCAUUGAAAUCCAUGUUUGUAGAAUCUAUUGACAACAAUGUACUUGGAUUCCCUUGACGCAUAUGUAAGUCGAUGCCAUUGACGACCAUGGAUGUCCAAAUUUCCCAUUCAUUUCCAAUGUCAUUCGCAUUGCAUUGAGGCCAAUUUAGACAUCUGUCAUCGACGCCCAUGUAUGUCAAUUCUAUUGAUGCCAAUUUACUUGGAUUUCAUUGACGCAAAUGUGAGUCGACGCCAUUGACGGCCAUGGACGUCCAAAUUUUUUCCCAUUCAUUUUCAAUGGCAAAAAAGCCAAUGUCCCCAAAUCAAAAGGAAAUGACCAGAUAUCAAUAGGACACGCCCCCCUAAUGUCCCCAAAUGACCUGACAUGACCAGAUCACGCCUCCAAAUGACCUGAUGUGACAGGCCACGCCUCCAAAUGA